rnacentral:rRNA from 1 species
UCCGACCUAUGCCCUUUCUGCACGACCACAGAAGCGACGGCCCACAUGCUUCUCCACUGUUCUGCUGCCGCCGAUGUCUGGUCGGCGGUUGACUCUCUUAACGUCAACCCUGACGGCUGCGCCUCCAUAGAAGAUUUACCUGGGCCUCAACCUUAAUGCAAGGUUCGCAACACGGUUAUUAUAGCUCUCCUCUGGAGCUUAUGGAAAAGACGAAACGCUAAAGUCUUGAGAAACGAAGAUGCAUCCGUAGGUCUUGUCCUGCGACGUGCUGCUCAAGACAUUUUUCUUUGGUCCAGUAGGUGUGUUAAAGCUGCUCGAAAGCAAAUCUUGCUCGAUUGGGGGAUCAUGUUGUCCCAGCUAGAUGUAGCAUAG